rnacentral:rRNA from 1 species
CGGACGGGUGGAGGAAUGUCUGGGAAACGGCCUGAUGGAGGGGGGUAACUACUGGAAACGGUAGCUAAUACCGCAUAACGUCGCAAGACCAAAGAGGGGGACCUUCGGGCCUCUUGCCAUCGGAUGUGCCCAGAUGGGAUUAGCUAGUAGGUGGGGUAAUGGCUCACCUAGGCGACGAUCCCUAGCUGGUCUGAGAGGAUGACCAGCCACACUGGAACUGAGACACGGUCCAG